ACUGGGUUGGCCGAGUGGUUAAGGCGUUGGACUUAAGUUCCAAUGAACGAAUGUCCGCGUGGGUUCGAACCCCACACCCAGUA
rnacentral:tRNA from 1 species